rnacentral:rRNA from 1 species
UUCCAGACUCCUACGGGAGGCAGCAGUGGGGAAUAUUGGACAAUGGGGGAAACCCUUAUCCAGCGACGCCGCGUGAGGGAAGAAGGUUUUCGGAUUGUAAACCUCUGUCAGUGGGGACGAUAAUGACGGUACCCACGGAGGAAGCCACGGCUAACUACGUGCCAGCAGCCGCGGUAAUACGUAGGGGGCAAGCGUUAUCCGGAAUUACUGGGUGUAAGGGGAGCGUAGACGGUUAAGUAAGUCUGGAGUGAAAGGCCGGGGCCCAACCCCGGGACUGCUCUGGAAACUAUUCAACUUGAGUGCAGGAGAGGUAAGCGGAAUUCCUAGUGUAGCGGUGAAAUGCGUAGAUAUUAGGAGGAACACCAGUGGCGAAGGCGGCUUACUGGACUGUAACUGACGUUGAGGCUCGAAAGCGUGGGGAGCAAACAGGAUUAGAUACCCUUGUA